UGGGGAAUAUUGCACAAUGGGCGCAAGCCUGAUGCAGCCAUGCCGCGUGUGUGAAGAAGGCCUUCGGGUUGUAAAGCACUUUCAGCGAGGAGGAAGGUGGUGGACUUAAUACGUUCAUCAAUUGACGUUACUCGCAGAAGAAGCACCGGCUAACUCCGUGCCAGCAGCCGCGGUAAUACGGAGGGUGCAAGCGUUAAUCGGAAUUACUGGGCGUAAAGCGCACGCAGGCGGUUUGUUAAGUCAGAUGUGAAAUCCCCGGGCUCAACCUGGGAACUGCAUUUGAAACUGGCAAGCUAGAGUCUCGUAGAGGGGGGUAGAAUUCCAGGUGUAGCGGUGAAAUGCGUAGAGAUCUGGAGGAAUACCGGUGGCGAAGGCGGCCCCCCUGGACGAAGACUGACGCUCAGGUGCGAAAGCGUGGGGAGCAAAACAGGAUUAGAUACCCUGGUAGUCCACGCUGUAAAACGAUGUCGAUUUGGAGGUUGUGCCCCUUGAGGCGUGGCUUCCGGAGCUAACGCGUUAAAUCGACCGCCCCGGGGAGUACGGCCGCAAGGUUAAAACUCAAAUGAAUUGACGGGGUCAUAGCUGUUUCCU
rnacentral:rRNA from 1 species